GAUGAACGCUGGCGGCGUGCCUAAUACAUGCAAGUCGAGCGAACAGACGAGGGGCUUGCUCCUCUGACGUUAGCGGCGGACGGGUGAGUAACACGUGGAUAACCUACCUAUAAGACUGGGAUAACUUCGGGAAACCGGAGCUAAUACCGGAUAAUAUAUUGAACCGCAUGGUUCAAUAGUGAAAGACGGUUUUGCUGUCACUUAUAGAUGGAUCCGCGCCGCAUUAGCUAGUUGGUAAGGUAACGGCUUACCAAGGCGACGAUGCGUAGCCGACCUGAGAGGGUGAUCGGCCACACUGGAACUGAGACACGGUCCAGACUCCUACGGGAGGCAGCAGUAGGGAAUCUUCCGCAAUGGGCGAAAGCCUGACGGAGCAACGCCGCGUGAGUAAUGAAGGUCUUCGGAUCGUAAAACUCUGUUAUUAGGGAAGAACAAAUGUGUAAGUAACUAUGCACGUCUUGACGGUACCUAAUCAGAAAGCCACGGCUAACUACGUG
rnacentral:rRNA from 1 species